rnacentral:rRNA from 1 species
GACGAACGCUGGCGGCGUGCUUAACACAUGCAAGUCGAACGGAAAGGCCCUGCUUUUGUGGGGUGCUCGAGUGGCGAACGGGUGAGUAACACGUGAGUAACCUGCCCUUGACUUUGGGAUAACUUCAGGAAACUGGGGCUAAUAUCGGAUAGGAGCUCCUGCUGCAUGGUGGGGGUUGGAAAGUUUCGGCGGUUGGGGAUGGACUCGCGGCUUAUCAGCUUGUUGGUGGGGUAGUGGCUUACCAAGGCUUUGACGGGUAGCCGGCCUGAGAGGGUGACCGGCCACAUUGGGACUGAGAUACGGACCAGACUCCUACGGGAGGCAGCAGUGGGGAAUAUUGCACAAUGGGCGGAAGCCUGAUGCAGCAACGCCGCGUGCGGGAUGACGGCCUUCGGGUUGUAAACCGCUUUCGCCUGUGACGAAGCGUGAGUGACGGUAAUGGGUAAAGAAGCACCGGCUAACUACGUG